rnacentral:misc_RNA from 1 species
UUCUGCGUGUGUGUUUGGUAGUGCGGGAGAAAUUAAACUUACGAAACAUUACAAAAGAUAUACAUAUAGCUGUCCCUUGUUGUAACGGUCAGUUUCCCUAAAGCCUUCAACUAUGAUCGGUUGUAGAGCUAAACAUUUUCAGUCAUUGUCAAUUGUGUUGUUGAAAUAAUCUUUGUGAUGUACUGUGUCGUAUAAUGAUUCAGUAUUAAUAUUAGUGUUAUUUUGUUAAUUUAACACCAAAAUUUUUUUAAAUUAGUAUGAUAAAUCUGGAAGAGACGCCAUGGAAAAGACGAAUCUUCAACCUAUUAUUACUUUUGGUAUUAACAACUAUUCUAGAUGGAAUUUCAGGAGCCGUUAUAAAUGACAGAGCAACGGAAAUCGAAAACACAAAUUGGACUCAACUAGCGGAUGAGAUUCUUUCAGAAGAAUUACUCAUAGCGAAACAAAAGUUUCGAGAUCGAUUGUCUCCAAUAUUGGCAUCGAGUGGUGUGACAAGAGAAUUACCACCAACUGCUGCACCUGAGAAUGAAAAGGUCGUUAUUGUUGACGUUAAUGGAAUGCCCGUUGAUCAAUUAGCAAAGGUAAAUUAUUCACGAAUGUUAUGGGACAUGGAAAAUACACAAUCAAGUGGUCAUUUUUCACUAUUUGUGGAUAAAGCAAUUAAAUUAUUAGACUUGCAACAAGUUAUGAUUGAAGUAGAAACUUCCGUAAUGUCAAAAGUAUCAUGUACAGCUUGCAAAGCUGGAGCUGGACUUUUACAAUAUUAUAUUAAACAUGGAAAAAGUGAUGAAGAUAUUAUGAAAAAUAUCUAUCGAUUUUGUGUAUCAUUACGCAUACAAAGUUCAAGAGUAUGUCAUGGAGUUACUCUGCUUUUUGGGGGAGAAGUAAUUCACGUUUUAAAACAAGUGAAUAUGGAGCCAGCUCAAAUAUGUAGUUUUGUAAUUGGUGAUGCAUGUGAUGAUGCAUAUAAUCCUCAACAUGAAUGGGAAGUAGCUUUUCCACCUGUAAAUAAACCGCCAAUUCAACCACCAAAUCCACCAAUUGAUAAUGCUCCUACGUUUAAAGUACUACAUAUUUCGGACACUCAUUAUGAUCCUUAUUAUCAUGAAGGUGCUAAUGCACAGUGUAAUGAGCCUUUGUGUUGUCGUUUAACAAAUGGACUAGCACAUGAACCAGGAGCAGCAGCUGGACGAUGGGGUGAUUAUAGAAAGUGUGAUACGCCAAAACGAACAGUGGACCAUAUGUUGAAUCAUAUUAAACAGACCCAUUCCGAUAUAGAUUAUAUUUUAUGGACAGGUGAUUUACCACCUCACGACAUUUGGAAUCAAACUCGAGAGGAAAAUUUGAAAAUUCUCAGAGAUACUGUUGUUCAAAUGGCUGAAACAUUCCCAGGAAUACCAAUAUUUCCAGCACUCGGAAACCACGAGUCGGCUCCAGUUAAUAGUUUUCCACCACCUUCGAGUACUCCUGACGAAGACAGUAGUAUUUCAUGGCUUUACAAUGAAUUAGAUAAACAAUGGAGACGUUGGUUACCCGCGGGCGUGUCUCAUACUGUUCGACGUGGUGCAUUUUAUUCAGUGCUAGUUCGUCCAGGAUUUCGUAUUAUUUCAGUAAACAUGAAUUACUGUAAUAACAAAAAUUGGUGGCUCUUGAUAAAUAGCACCGAUCCUGUUAGUGAAUUACAAUGGUUGGUGUAUGAACUCCAAGGAGCUGAAAUGAACGGAGAAAAAGUUCAUAUAAUCGGUCAUAUACCACCUGGUCAUUCUGAUUGUUUAAAAAUAUGGUCAAGAAAUUACUAUCACAUAAUCAAUCGUUAUGAAUCAACUAUAACGGCACAAUUUUUCGGACAUACGCAUUACGAUGAAUUUCAAUUGUUCUAUGACAUUUCAGACUUUAGUAGAGCAUUGAGUAUUGCUUAUGUCGGGCCUUCUGUCUCGCCUUAUUAUGAUUUAAAUCCAGGUUAUAGAAUAUAUUACGUUGAUGGAGAUCAUUCAGAAACAACAAGAUUAGUUGUUGAUCAUGAAAGUUGGGUGAUGAAUCUCAAGGAAGCUAAUCUUUAUGAUUAUCCUAUUUGGCGAAAAAUGUACAGUGCACGUCAGGCAUAUCAGAUGUCAUCAUUAUUACCGAAAGAUUGGGAUGCUUUUAUUGAUAAAAUGACGAAUGAGCCAUCGAACUUUGAUCUUUAUUACAAGCAUUAUUAUAAAAACUCACCUGUUAGACCAGCUUGUAACAAUGAUUGUCGGAAAAGAUUGCUUUGUGAUCUUCGUAGUGGUCGUAGUCAUGAUCGAAAAAUGUUAUGUCAAACUCUAGAAUCUCGAAUCGAUGGAAUAUCAACAAGUAGCUGGCGGGAAUGGAUAUACAAUGGUUUAAAAUUAUCGUACGUAAAAAAUUGGUGGAUGAAAAAGACGAUGUUUUAAUGGAUAUUAGUUAAUAAAAAAAAAAUAUUACUAAUUAAUAUUUUCUCUACUUAAAUCUUUCUCUUUUAUUUUAUUAAUAUAUUUGUUUUUUUAGUAAUAAAUUAAUUUAUUAGUCAAUUUAGAGUAUUAAUAAUUUUAUGUAUAAUUUAAUAACACCGCUUUUCAUUCAGUGCACGCCUAUGGUGACAGUCGCUUUGUGAAUUUGUGUAAUCAAUUUGAAAAAAAUGUCAGUAGUAAUGGCGAUUCCACGAUUUGCAUACAAUUUGCCAAAAUACGUACUAGGUCUUGGCUGACAAGCUUGUAAUCUAUUUUCAAUUUACUAUGACCGCCAUAAUCAGUUUAAUCACCAUGAUGGCUAUAUAAAAAAAUUAUAAAUAGUGUACAUAUAAUUUAUAAUAUUUGUUGAUAUUUUUAGACAUAAACUAUUAGUUUUCUACGUUAAGAUCAUGUUGAUUGUUAUAAGAAUGAUGUAUUAUAUAGCAUUUUA